UGGGGAAUCUUGCGCAAUGGGGGAAACCCUGACGCAGCGACGCCGCGUGCGGGAUGAAGGCCUUCGGGUUGUAAACCGCUUUCAGCAGGGACGAGGCCUUAUGGUGACGGUACCUGCAGAAGAAGCUCCGGCUAAAUACGUGCCAGCAGCCGCGGUAAUACGUAUGGAGCAAGCGUUGUCCGGAAUUACUGGGCGUAAAGAGCUCGUAGGCGGUUUGUCACGUCGUCUGUGAAAUCCUAGGGCUUAACCCUGGACGUGCAGGCGAUACGGGCUGACUUGAGUACUACAGGGGAGACUGGAAUUUCUGGUGUAGCGGUGGAAUGCACAGAUAUCAGGAAGAACACCGAUGGCGAAGGCAGGUCUCUGGGUAGUAACUGACGCUGAGGAGCGAAAGCAUGGGCAGCGAACAGG
rnacentral:rRNA from 1 species